rnacentral:rRNA from 1 species
UACAGAGGGUGCAAGCGUUGUUCGGAAUUAUUGGGCGUAAAGCGCGUGUAGGCGGCUUUGCAAGUCGGGUGUGAAAGCCCUCAGCUCAACUGAGGAAGUGCGCCCGAAAACUGCAGAGCUUGAGUACCGGAGAGGAUGGCGGAAUUCCCCAAGGUAGAGGUGAAAUGCGUAGAUAUCGGAAGGAACACCUGUGCGAAAGCGGACUCACUGGACCAUAACUGACGCUGAGGCGGCGAAAGCUAGGGGAGCAACAGG